rnacentral:rRNA from 1 species
AUUGAACGCUGGCGGCAGGCCUAACACAUGCAAGUCGAGCGGAUGAAGGGAGCUUGCUCCUGGAUUCAGCGGCGGACGGGUGAGUAAUGCCUAGGAAUCUGCCUGGUAGUGGUGGAUAACGUCCGGAAACGGGCGCUAAUACCGCAUACGUCCUGAGGGAGCAAGUGGGGGAUCUUCGGACCUCACGCUAUCAGAUGAACCUAGGUCGGAUUAGCUAGUUGGUGGGGUAAAGGCCUACCAAGGCGACGAUCCGUAACUGGUCGGAGAGGAUGAUCAGUCACACUGGAACUGAGACACGGUCCAGACUCCUACGGGAGGCAGCAGUGGGGAAUAGUGGGCAAUGGGCGAAAGCCUGAUCCAGCCAGGCCGCGUGUGUGAAGAAGGUCUUCGGAUUGUAAAGCACUUUAAGUUGGGAGGAAGGGCAGUAAGUUAAUACCUUGCUGUUUUGACGUUACCAACAGAAUAAGCACCGGCUAACUUCGUG